AAGUUAUAAAAAGUCUUAAAUUAGGGUUUAAUUAUGAAUAUUGAAAAGUAGAGUUAAAUAUGAUAAGACAUUAAGUAGAAAAGAAGUAUGAAUUAAGUUAGAAAAAUAAGUAAGCUUAGUUAGAAUUAAAUUGGGAAUAAGUAGGAAUUGAAUAAAAUUUAAUUAUUAUUAUUAUUAUUUUUAAUGUUGUAAUUAAUAGUGAAAAUAAUUAUUAUUUUCGUAGCUAACAAGGAAAACGAGGCAUCGGCAUCCAAAGGAAAAGAAAAGAUCGUUGAGGAUUAAACGUGUAUUCCGGGUUUGUAUUACUAUAACUUAAACUAUUUACUAAAUGCUAUAUUGAAAUAUAUGUGAAUUGAAAUAAUAGAUGUUUUGAAUUGUUUGAGUAUUUGAGAUUGUUGUGGAAAUGAAUUCGAAAUUGGAAAAGUAAAAUAAUACCCUAUUAACUUAUCGGACUAGAUUGGAUACAAAUGGCAUGCCAUCGGAUUUGUGAUAUGGUGAUGAGAUUUGUAGUUCGGCCGAUAAGAUGAUUAUAUUAUUAUAUGCUUCGGUUUAUCCGAAAAGGCAUUUAAUGCCUUAUUGGUGUGUUCUGGAGGAUUUAAAUAAUUUCGGGUGUGUUUAGGUUGGAUAUUCUGGUGUGUUUGGGUGGAAUCCUCGUAUCUGUCAGAGUCCAAGCCUUGUUAAUAGGGUAAAUAAUUGAAAUGAAAAUUUGAAAAUGAAAUUGGUUGAUUUGACACUAUAGAAAAAUACGAGAAAGAAUGUAUGAGUUAAAUUAUAAAUUUAAUUAGUAUGUAAAUACAUAUAUAUAUAAAUUUAAGAUCUAUGGAAUGAUAUAUGAAUAUGUAUAUUUAAUUUAAAGUGAUUUAUAAGAUUAUGGUCAAUAUUUGAAAUCUUAUUAUUAAAUAGUUUAAUUUAUAGUAAUACCACUGAGUAUGAUAUACUCAGCGUACGGUUGUUUCCGUGCGCAGGUUGUAGAAGUCAAGUACUGAAUCAGCAUCCAAACCAGACCCGACUUCAACAAAUUUUGGUGAUGUAUAUUUUCUUUUAGUAAUGUGGCAUGUACAUAGGAUGUGU
rnacentral:lncRNA from 1 species